AGAGUUUGAUCCUGGCUCAGGAUGAACGCUAGCUACAGGCUUAACACAUGCAAGUCGAGGGGCAGCAUGAACUUAGCUUGCUAAGUUUGAUGGCGACCGGCGCACGGGUGAGUAACACGUAUCCAACCUGCCGAUGACUCGGGGAUAGCCUUUCGAAAGAAAGAUUAAUACCCGAUGGCAUAGUUCUUCCGCAUGGUAGAACUAUUAAAGAAUUUCGGUCAUCGAUGGGGAUGCGUUCCAUUAGGUUGUUGGCGGGGUAACGGCCCACCAAGCCUUCGAUGGAUAGGGGUUCUGAGAGGAAGGUCCCCCACAUUGGAACUGAGACACGGUCCAAACUCCUACGGGAGGCAGCAGUGAGGAAUAUUGGUCAAUGGACGAGAGUCUGAACCAGCCAAGUAGCGUGAAGGAUGACUGCCCUAUGGGUUGUAAACUUCUUUUAUACGGGAAUAAAGUGAGGCACGUGUGCCUUUUUGUAUGUACCGUAUGAAUAAGGAUCGGCUAACUCCGUGCCAGCAGCCGCGGUAAUACGGAGGAUCCGAGCGUUAUCCGGAUUUAUUGGGUUUAAAGGGAGCGUAGGCGGACGCUUAAGUCAGUUGUGAAAGUUUGCGGCUCAACCGUAAAAUUGCAGUUGAUACUGGGUGUCUUGAGUACAGUAGAGGCAGGCGGAAUUCGUGGUGUAGCGGUGAAAUGCUUAGAUAUCACGAAGAACUCCGAUUGCGAAGGCAGCUUGCUGGACUGUAACUGACACUGAAGCACGAAAGCGUGGGGAUCAAACAGGAUUAGAUACCCUGGUAGUCCACGCAGUAAACGAUGAUUACUAGGAGUUUGCGAUACAAUGUAAGCUCUACAGCGAAAGCGUUAAGUAAUCCACCUGGGGAGUACGCCGGCAACGGUGAAACUCAAAGGAAUUGACGGGGGCCCGCACAAGCGGAGGAACAUGUGGUUUAAUUCGAUGAUACGCGAGGAACCUUACCCGGGUUUGAACGUAGUCUGACCGGAGUGGAAACACUCCUUCUAGCAAUAGCAGAUUACGAGGUGCUGCAUGGUUGUCGUCAGCUCGUGCCGUGAGGUGUCGGCUUAAGUGCCAUAACGAGCGCAACCCUUAUCACUAGUUACUAACAGGUGAAGCUGAGGACUCUGGUGAGACUGCCAGCGUAAGCUGUGAGGAAGGUGGGGAUGACGUCAAAUCAGCACGGCCCUUACAUCCGGGGCGACACACGUGUUACAAUGGCAUGGACAAAGGGCAGCUACCUGGCGACAGGAUGCUAAUCUCCAAACCAUGUCUCAGUUCGGAUCGGAGUCUGCAACUCGACUCCGUGAAGCUGGAUUCGCUAGUAAUCGCGCAUCAGCCAUGGCGCGGUGAAUACGUUCCCGGGCCUUGUACUCACCGCCCGUCA
rnacentral:rRNA from 1 species